GGUACACCUCAACCCCUUCGACAAGGCCCCCAAGCCGCCACCGCAGGAGCGGCCCGACGGGGGUGACCCGGACCUGGGGUCUGCGUCGGACGUGCAGCAGCUGUGCUAGGCCAUCGAGGAGUGCAAGCAGGCAAUCCUGGUAUUGCCCAAGCAUUCAGAGCGGCAGAAGGACUUGGUGAUGCGGCUCAUCCUCAAGCUGCAGGAGCUGAAGGAUCCUGGUGAGGAUGAGCCCAACAUCCGGGUGGUGCUAGAGCAUUGCUUCUACAAGGAAAAGAGCAAGACUGUGAAGCCGAUGCAGCAUCAUCAUCUGGGGCCUCAUCCAGACCUGGUACACCUGCACAGGCUGCUACUACCAGGGCCACAGCAAGUGCCCGC
rnacentral:lncRNA from 1 species